rnacentral:rRNA from 1 species
CCUACGGGGUGCAGCAGUGGGGGAUAUUGCACAAUGGGGGGAACCCUGAUGCAGCGACGCCGCGUGGGUGAAGAAGCGCCUCGGCGCGUACAGCCCUGUCAGCAGGGAAGAAAAUGACGGUACCUGAAGAAGAAGCCCCGGCUAACUACGUGCCAGCAGCCGCGGUAAUACGUAGGGGGCAAGCGUUAUCCGGAUUUACUGGGUGGAAAGGGGGCGGAGGCGGCGAUGCAAGCCAGGAGUUAAAGCCCGGGGGCCAACCCCGGGACUGCUCUUGGAACUGCGUGGCUAGAGUGCAGGAGGGGCAGGCGGAAUUCCUGGUGUAGCGGUGAAAUGCGUAGAUAUAAGGAGGAACACCAGUGGCGAAGGCGGCCUGCUGGACUGCAACUGACGUUGAGGCCCGAAAGCGUGGGGAGCAAACAGGAUUAGAUACCCCAGUAGUC